GACCAGAUAGCCUAGUGGUCAAAGGCAGCACAUCUAGCAUUGUGUCUUAGCUUGCAUGCUGAGGUCCCAGGUUCUAAUCCUGGUCUGGUCA